GCGAAGCUCCGCCCACUCGCGCGCAGGGUCUGAGGGCGCUGCCGCUGGCACGCCGCCUCCCUGCCUCCCCGCGCAAGUUAUCGCUGGGGGUGCUCCUGAGACCCCAGAGUCCUGAAUUUGGAUCCGUUAAGGUGGUCCGGACGUCCUUCUCAGGCAUGCCUUGGAAAUACUUUGGGUUUGGUUCCAGACCAUGGCAAUAAAGCAAAUAUGGCAAUAAAGUGGCUGCUCAUCAUGCACAGGCGGGUGAUGUUGAGGAUCAUGACGACGGUGAAGGCCACAAGGCAGACGACCAUGUAGUAGACGCCCAUGUCUCCAGAGGUAAAGAUGACUCUCAGGGUCACCGUGUUGUUCACAGUGCCAUGGAUGUUAGAAGCAACACAUGUGUAUUUACCUCGGUCUGAAAAAGACACCUUGGUGAUGUUCAGGAGGCCGCUGUCGUGCAUCUGCCAUUUUCCUGUUGGAAGGAAGAGUGGAGAAUUCAACCAAGGACAUAUGGGUCCCAUCAAAGUGUCUACAAACUCUCACGUUACUAAAAACAUCUCUUAUUACUACAACUACUGCUUCUGUUACUACGAAUGAUAAUGACAAUGGACAUUUACUGUGUGCCAGACAGUGACACAUACUAACUCAUUUCAUCUUCACAACAAUUCUGUGAGCCCUGAAAACUAGGAAGAUGGCACAAAUGGCACUUUGAGGGUCCUCCCACAUCUUCGGGCCCAGGCUCACGAAGAAUCUCCAUAUGGAACCCAGCAGCUGGGAUCAUCCUGAGAACAUUUUCUCUGCUGCACACUGCCAUUCACCUCAGUCUACAAAUACCUUGUCCUGAGACUCAUUCUGGAAGGGUCCUGACUUUGGCUUUAACUUUAGUUAAAGAAACAAAAAUAACCCACAAUGACUGUUACAGGAAACCAUCAGGGCUAUCCAUGGAGUGGGGAUACAGUGCUGUUCUCGUGUAUUUAAGAUGGUAAUUGAGUGGGAAUGUCAAACUUAUGUGUUGAAUUUUCAGUAAGUUGCAUCACUUCAGCACAAAUAAAAACCUAAAAUGUCAGUAGUUGAUGCCAAGUCGGUUCUACAUGCAAUGACUUUGGAGGAAAGAAAGAGCCGGAUGUUUAACCAUGACUUUCUGAAUAUAUUACCAAAGAUGAUGUGCAAAAUGUCUCUCUAACGCCCUUGCUCGUGGUUCACUUAUUCAAGUCCUGCGCCUUGCUCAGAUGGUGGCUCCUUCCUUGGAAAGCCCGUCCCCCACCUCCUCUGGUCUGGCUGUGGUCCUGUAAGGGGACCCUCACCUGAAGGCUUCACGCUAAAAUACUGCCACACGCAGUAGGAGAAGGGCUGCUGGAGUCUGCUCUGCUGGAGACCAGAGUUUGCCCAGGAAUCUGUCACAGUCUCCCCAAGAAACUCCAGGCACAAGAACCACAUGUGAAAAUCUGCCACGUGCGAACAGAAGUAGUGUGGUGACAAUCUCUCCUUUGCAGAGAGAAAAGCUGACAGAUGUUAUUUCUCAGCUGUACUGCAGUGCGUAUAUUAUGCAGCACACACACACACAAAAGCUGACAUUUUUAGAAGGGCAGUGAUCUUUUUUUAAUCUUGUUCACGCAUUUAGUCAACAAAUAUUAUUGAGUAAAUUGCGUUUGCACCAGGUUCCACGCUAGACUAUGCAAAUACAGAGAUGAGUAAGACAAGAUCCCCGACUGAGAAAACCAUCCAGCCCAACGAGGGCGCAGACUACUACAAACAACUGUGGAUCACUUGGCAAAGGCGCUGGCCCAGGGCAGUGGGAUGGAGCACCAC